rnacentral:rRNA from 1 species
CACGUAGGGCGCAAGCGUUGUCCGGAAUUAUUGGGCGUAAAGAGCUCGUAGGCGGUCUGUCGCGUCGGCUGUGAAAUCCCGAGGCUCAACCUCGGGUCUGCAGUCGAUACGGGCAAACUAGAGUAUUGCAGGGGAGACUGGAAUUCCUGGUGUAGCGGUGAAAUGCGCAGAUAUCGGGAAGAACACCCGUGGCGAAGGCGGCACUCUGGGACGGUACUGACGCUGAGACGCGAAAGCGUGGGGAGCGAACAGG